rnacentral:tRNA from 1 species
GUAGAGAAGGCUAAGUGGUUUACAGCACUGAUUGUUCUUCCAGAGGACCUGGGUUCAAUUCCCAGAGUCUACA